UCAGUCGACUCCUACGGGGAGGCAGCAGUGGGGGAAUAUUGGACAAUGGGGGGGAACCCUGAUCCAGCCAUGCCGCGUGUGUGAAGAAGGCCUUAUGGUUGUAAAGCACUUUAAGCGAGGAGGAGGCUACUGAGACUAAUACUCUUGGAUAGUGGACGUUACUCGCAGAAUAAGCACCCGGCUAACUCUGUGCCAGCAGCCGCGGUAAUACAGAGGGUGCGAGCGUUAAUCGGAUUUACUGGGCGUAAAGCGUGCGUAGGCGGCGUUUUAAGUUCGGAUGUGAAAUACCCCGAGCUUAACUUGGGAAUUGCAUUCGAUACUGGGAAGCUAGAGUAUGGGAGAGGAUGGUAGAAUUCCAGGUGUAGCGGUGAAAUGCGUAGAGAUCCGGAGGAAUACCGAUGGCGAAGGCAGCCAUCUGGCCUAAUACUGACGCUGAGGUACGAAAGCAUGGGGAGCAAACAGGAUUAGAUACCCCUGGUAG
rnacentral:rRNA from 1 species